CUUGCUCCACCUCAAAGGCGUUUGAGACAGGGCAAGAGGCAUGUGCACGCUUGUCUGGACACGCCCUUUGAGUCAUUUUGGGAAUAGCAAUUCUAGUUGCUUCUUAUGAGCUGCUAAGAUUUGAGGACUUGAACUUGGAACAAGACUGAGAAUAACGUCAUUCAUGCAAGUAGUCCAGUUGCAUGUAUUACAUAGCUGCCCUUAUAAAAGUGCUUAAAACAUUGGCAUUUAAAGUAUCCAUAGGCACUCCCUUGAAUGUAGACCCUUUGUUUUCGCCAGGACUGGGUGACAAGUGAAACAAGUUCCAGUAGUCUGUCUAACUUCCAAAGGCCUUUUGUUGCCAACUUGAAAGGGAGCUAAAAGGGGGGACAUUUACUUUAAGAACUUGGUGUCCUAGAUUAGCUGUGUGCAGUGGGUCCUUUCUGCUAUUCAUAGUCAGGAGCAUUCAAGUUCAUUGGGCAGGGUUUUGUCUCCUGUACACAAGCUGUGUCCUGUGAAAGGGAAGAGUAAAGGGGCAGGCUGUAAUGGGAGCUUUCUGCAGUGCAUAAAGUCAUUCUGCAUGGGUUUGUAGGACUCCUCCACUGCCAUAACCCCAGUAUAAAGGUGGGAUAGAGCCAGAUCAGGAACACUGGUGACCCAAGUGAUGUGGAGAGCUCCCAAAGCCAUUGUACUUGUUCCAGGCACAAAGUGGUUUUCCAGCACAGUUUGCAAAGCUGGCUUAAGGCAGUCUUUCUUCUUUUUCUUUUUUUCUAAUCGUAAUAGUGGCCUUCUAGAAAUACUUUCAGGGCUGUCAUUUUCUUCAUUUGGGCUCCUUUACAGUAGUCUGUGGAAUGACUUGCUGGAAUAAAGUGCGGCCUGACUAAAGCAAUUAAAAUACGGUCCAUGUCCAUAAGUAUGAUGCUGAUUAUGAAAUUCUAAUUGGAUUGUUUUUUUGAAAUGGCAUAGUAUACAUCCUCAUUGUGGAGACUCCCAGUAAUCUAAACAAUGGAGUUUAUAAGGUAUGCAGGUUUAUGUAUGGAAAAAAGUGACAGACCAAGGAGGAAGAGGCAACCAGUUAAUAAUACUGAGCUGGACUCCAUCUGACUUAUGUAGUUUUACCUAAAAAAAACUACACAAGUCUUCAGGUCAUGAGGACUGUUUACAAAUGUUCUAAGUCAUGACCAUGUACUAUAGGAUGUAGAUAAAAAGAUUAAAUGCUGUUGGGAAUCAAAGUAAUCAUCUUAAUACCUUUCAGCAAAGCAAACAACAUUUGGCCAAAUCACUGGAAUAACACAGAUCAGAUCAGUCUGGAACUGAGUCACUGACCAAGUGGCUGGUGUUUAGAGCACAAUUUUGAGUGUACUCUGCUUUGCUAGAUAGGUCCUUAAAUUUUUGACUGGGUGAGCACUUGUCCUUUGCAGGUUGCCCCCUGUACAGAUGGGAAAUUGAGGCACAGAGUGGAGUUGAAUGUAAAUCCCCAGAGUUCAAGGGAAACAAAGUUACUAUUGCACCAUCCUUCCUAUUUGUUCCAUAAAAUUUGGGGUAUUGGAGAGCCUCGCUCUUAGGGAUUUAUACUGUAACUACAGGUUUAUACCAACAAAAGCAGUGUUUUUCAUUCCAUAAUGGAAAUAAGACAGAAACAAUGUAAAGGGGGGAGAGAGGGAGGGAAGAAAAGCCUGUGGAAUUAGUUGUAUUUUGCUUUUUUAUUUUUCCACAUUACUUAAAACAAGAAAUUUUAAUAGCACUGGAUUUACUUUUUACAACAAAAUAUUUUCAUGUAUUCAUUUCCUGCCCAUCAUUGAAAAACAACAGUCACUAAACGUCAGCACCUAAAUCUUCAUAAUACUGUUGUUUGUCCGUAGUGCAGUUUUUGUUUUGCUUGAAACCUUGGUUAGUGAUUUUAAAUCUAUUACACUUUUCAUUUAACAUUCUUUAUUUUUGUCAGUCAGUGCAAAUCCAACAAAUGAUUUUUUUUUUUAAAGGAGUAAGAAACAUUUACAGUCUAAUGGAAGCUAGGCCAUAGUUUUAACAUGAAACAUACUGUACAGCGUUAACAUUGGCAUUUGCCCAUUUUAAGAUAACAAUAUAAGCUUUAUUUUUUAAUAAUUAAUUCCUUUUUGCAUAUGACUGUCUGUGCUUUACGAAACUAUUGGGGACUCAAAUAUAUCCGUGAAAGAGCACAACUGUAUUUUUAUUUAAUGUUAGAUGAGAUCCAUAUUUUUUUUACAUGUUUUAUUUUGGAUGAUAAAUAGAAGUAUUUCUCUUGAAUACAUUUUGUAAACCUUUAAAAUAUGGACAUUUCUAACUAGUCAACAUUUGAACCAGAAGCUCAGGCUUUGAUGUAAAUUAUUGAAAGAAAGAAAAAAGUAAUAAGAAUAUGUUUCCCUGAAAAUGUAUUUUAGCAUGAGUAACUUCUUGGACCUGGUAUUUUGUAAAAAGGUAUAAUUGAGUCAUAAAUGCCAUUCUGUUCCUCAGUCAAGUAUUAUAUUUAAGAUACCUAGAUCUUUUCUUUGCAAUAAUUAUAAUGUUUCUCCACCCCUUAUAACAGGAACUGAGCGGGCUAAAUGCUCAGGUAGUAUCAAUCAGCAUAGUCCUAUUGAAGUUGUACUGAUACAUGGUGGCUGAGGAUCUGGCCCCUAAGUCUGAGAUGCAACAGAAGUGUGAUCUAAGUUGCAGUUUUUGCCACAGGAGUGCUAAAGAAUUUGGACAGAUCGUGUUCAAUACUUUACGGCCAGCCAGUGGCUCUUAAAUUUAUGCUGGUACCAUGAAUUAAAUUUUGAUGGCAUUUGUCAUAACCAAGACGGCAGUAACAACUGUAGUCUUAAAAAUAAAGAUUCUAUCAGAUUAUUUAAAAACUCUACAGCUAAUUAAAUAGACCAGUAUCAAAUAUAAACUGUCUCAAGAUGUACAGUAAAAUAAAACCUCAAUGAGAUUUUAAUUUAUGCAGUCUUUAUGGAAAAUGAUGUUCCUCAUUUGGGUUUGCAAACUCCUGUAGUGUUCUUUAGUGUUCUGUAGUGGUAUGGCAUGAAAUUCCUUUUAAUAAAUUAUACAGCAACUUGCAUAAAAUUAUAAAUUGAUAUAAGUAAUUACCAUGCGUGCUAGCCAUAGGGUACUAGUAGAUCAUAAUGCUUUGCAGGUCUUUUGUUUUUUUGUUUGCUUUCUUUUUUCAUUCAUGUUGUGUGGAAGUAAUUUAACAUAGACAGGGAACAAUUUGAUGCUGGCAACUGUUAAUGGACUAGUGGUAAAUCAGUCCACAGAACAUGCCGGGGGGGGGGAGGGGAAUGAA